rnacentral:ncRNA from 1 species
GUCAGUCCCGUAGGGAAGAUGGCCGUCCAAGGUAAGAGCGGCCAUAGGCCGCCGCCAUCUUCCUCCGCUAAAAGGCGGAAUUACGGGACAGGAGGU